GGAGUUAGCCGGUGCUUCUUCUGUGAGUGAUGUCCUUCCUGCCGGUUAUUGACCCGCAGGCCUUCUUCCUCACUGAAAGUGCUUUACAACCCGAAGGCCUUCUUCACACACGCGGCAUGGCUGGAUCAGGGUUGCCCCCAUUGUCCAAUAUUCCCCACUGCUGACUCCCGUAGGAGUCUGGGCCGUGUCUCAGUCCCAGUGUGGCUGAUCAUCCUCUCAGACCAGCUACGGAUCGUCGCCUUGGUGAGCCGUUACCUCACCAACCAGCUAAUCCGACAUAGGCUCAUCCGAUAGCGCGAGGCCCGAAGGUCCCCCGCUUUCCCCCGUAGGGCGUAUGCGGUAUUAGCCUGGGUUUCCCCAGGUUAUCCCCCACUACCGGGCAGAUUCCUAUGCAUUACUCACCCGUCCGCCGCUCGCCACCAGGGAGCAAGCUCCCCGUGCUGCCGCUCGACUUGCAUGUGUUAGGCCUGCCGCCAGCGUUCAAUCUGAGCCAGGAUCAAACUCUGA
rnacentral:rRNA from 1 species